GCGAGCAGCGGCGAGCCCGGCAUCCCGCGCAGCCCGCCCGGCGCGCCCGCGGCGAUGGAGCAGGACAAGUACCUGCCCGAGCUGAUGGCCGAGAAGGACAGCCUGGAUCCCUGCUUUGUUCACGCGAUGCGCCUCCUGGAAGACGAAAUGGAAAAAUUUCAGGGUUCCGAAGGCAAGAAGGAAGAUGAAGAAAAGAAAUACCUUGAUGUUAUCAGUAACAAAAACAUAAAGCUGUCAGAGAGGGUUUUGAUCCCUGUCAAACAAUAUCCAAAGUUCAAUUUUGUUGGGAAAUUGCUUGGACCAAGAGGAAACUCUUUAAAGAGGUUACAAGAAGAAACAGGUGCAAAAAUGUCCAUCCUGGGAAAAGGAUCCAUGAGGGAUAAAGCUAAGGAGGAAGAACUAAGGAAAAGUGGAGAAGCCAAAUACGCCCACUUGAGUGAUGAGCUCCAUGUAUUAAUUGAAGUGUUUGCUCCACCUGGGGAGGCGUAUUCUCGUAUGAGUCAUGCCUUGGAAGAAAUAAAAAAAUUCCUGGUUCCUGAUUAUAAUGAUGAAAUUCGCCAGGAGCAGCUGAGAGAACUUUCGUACUUGAACGGUUCUGAGGAUUCAUCGCGUGGACGGGGCAUUCGAGGAAGAGGGAUCCGUGUGCCACCUGCAGCUCCUUCAAGGGGCCGUGGGGGUGCCAUUCCUCCCCCGCUGCCUGGACGAGGUGCCCAAGCGCCCCGAGGAGCGCCGGUGACACGCGGGGCGCUCCCCGUCCCUCCGGUGGCCAGGGGCGUCCCCACCCCUCGGGCCAGGGGCGCCCCGUCCGUGCCGGGUUACAGGCCGCCCCCGCCGCCCGCACACGAGGCCUACGAGGACUACGGAUACGAUGAUGGAUAUGGGGGUGAAUAUGAUGAUCCAAGCUAUGAGGCAUAUGAUAAUAGUUAUGCCACCCAAACACAAAGUGUGCCUGAAUAUUACGACUAUGGUCACGGAACAAGUGAAGAGGCUUAUGAGAGCUACGCACAAGAAGAAUGGGCCACGACCCGUUCCAGCCUAAAGGCACCACCUCCAAGGUCAGCCAGAGGGGGAUACAGGGAACACCCCUAUGGUAGAUAUUGAAGGUCCUCCUCUUCUGUGACCUCAUCUCAAAGACAAUUAAUAGCCUGUGGUCUCCACAUAAACAGCAACAAGACAAGGACUCACAGGCACUGGACAGCUAAGCAGCAGAUCUGCUGGCAAGUGGUCAGAUUUUUGGAGCCUUAGGGAAGUACUGUACCUUUUGAAUGGUGUUCAGGGAACUGAGAGUGCUCAACAUCAUUUGCAAUAAAUCACUUGCUUCCGAAGGACAGCCUCAGGUUGGGACUCUCCACAGCCCUGAGUUCUGGACCUACCAUUACCACCCUCUCUAGGAUAUGCUACCACUCAGACUUACAGUGAUCUUCCAGUCUGUCAGGUACAGAGUACUUCAUUAUGUGCACGAACAGAAAUGCUUAAAUGGAUGAAGCAGCUAUUUACGUCUGAUAGGAGCUAAGUGGGACAUUAAAUUAAUGCCAAACAAGUGAGUGCUCAUUUUAGUUUUGUUAUAAAUGGCUGCAGCACAGCAGUAAUGUGUUGACUCUUAUGUGCUGACAAGUUCUAUAUUUCUUACAAACUUCCCUUAGAGCUCGUGGUAGAAAGACAAAUUCACACUCUGCAUGAUGAAAUUAGCAGCAGAUGCAUUAAUAAUUGAAUAAGGAUCUCUGGAGACACACCACAGCUCAGAAAGAGAGUUGUUGACUGGCUGGUUUAAGCUUCUGUUCUUAUAUAUAUGCACUUACAUAAGCCAUGAGUUAAGAGCUGCUGCCUGUAUGUAGCCUUUGAUAUCAAAUCCACUUCCUGCUCUUAGAAGACUUUGCAUAGUUACAUUUGACAGGUCAAUGAGCAGAUUGACAACCAUUAAUCUGGGCAGAGCGUGGCUUUGCUCGUUCCCCCUUCUCUCUGAGUGUUCUUAAACUUCAAGGCAAACUGAAUGCAGUUUCUUUAGAAAUCCUCUCCAGACAAUGAGUGGGAUAUGAGUUACUGGAAGACUUUCACUGUAUGCCAGACCGUCAUUUCUCUAGGAUUGAAAGUUUCCUGAAGUGCAAAUCUCAUCUUCUCUCACAGAAGGAUUAGGAUACUGCCAUCUUCCUUUCCAGCAAACAUGAUGUUUUUUGUUCCACAUGCCCAGGUUUGAGAGGGAAGGAAUUUCACAGAAUCACAGAGACCACAGUGAAUCACCUGAUCCCACUUCCCUUCUCAUGAAAGUCCAUCCUAGAGCACAUUGCACAGGCUUGUGUCCAGACAAUUCUUUAAUAUCUCUGGUAAGGGAGGCUCCACAACCUCUCUGGACAAUCUAUUCCAGUGCUGAGUCACUGCAAAGUGUUUAAAGAUUUAAAAGAUUAAAGAAGUUCUUCCUCAUACUCAGGUGGAAUUUCUUGUGGGUCAGUUUCUGCCCAUUGUGUCUUGUCCUAUUGCUCGGUGCCGCUGAGCACAGCCUGGAAACCUCUUCUUGACACCCAUCCUUUAGAUACUCAUACACAUUGAUGAGUUCCCCUCUCAGUCACCUCUUCUCGAGGCUCAAAUGGCCCAGCUCCCUCAGCCUAUCCUUGUAAGAGAGAUGCUCCAAUCCCUUAAUCAUCUUUGUUCCCCUCCACUGGACCCACUCCAGCAGCUCCGUGUCUCUACUGUAUGAAGAGCCCAGAACUGGACACAGCACUCCAGAUGUGCCUCACCAGGGCUGAGCAGAGGGACAGGAUCCCCUCCCUCAGCCUGCUGGCAAUGCUUUUCCUGACAUACCCCAAGACACCAUCGGCCUUAUGGGCCACAAAGGUACACUGCCAGCUCAAUUUGUGUCUUUUGGACAAUAACAAAGAAAGCAAGAGGAUUGCCAGAAAAAUAAGUCUGCUUUUUAAAGAUACCACCAAGUCUUUGAUGUAAUUUUUAAUAGUUACUUUGCAAUCACACCAAAUAAUAUUAUGCUCAGAGGAUAUAGACAAAAUAGUGUGAUAUUUCAUCCACAGCAAUACUACUGGAGCAAAUACUUCUGGGUUUAAAAUCAGAACUUUAUUGCACUAUUGCCAAGAGAGUGAUAGUAAUUUGAAUAGUCUAAAAAUUUGUUCCAGUUUGAAGAAAGCCAAGAUUUAGCACAGUGUUAGUAGAUUAACUCCACAGAGCUCUCCUAACUGUGCAUGCAAACUUCAGUCGCAAGUUUUGAGCACAGGUUGACUUCUGUGUUUUGCUUUCCUCCAGAUUAUUUUAUAAAUCUCAGGAUCUGUAAGAAAAACUUACCUUCAAAAUACCUAUCAGUGUAUUUUCUGGAGUUUUAUCAGCUAAAGAAAUGCUAAUUCUAAUCCUAGCUUUUAAGUAUAUUAAAUUAUAAUAUAUAAAAAUAUAUAUUUUAAUAAUAAACGUAUUGCAAUAUUUUGCAUAAGCUACAAUAUUAUUUAAUAAAGUCUUUAAAGCAAUACUCAAUAUUCAACUGCCUUUAAAACAACACUUCAAUUCCUCUUAUUUAGAUAUGUAGUUCUUUUUAUUCAAUAAUAGUGCAUGUGUUAUUUGUUCAGUAAGUGUUUGGUAUGAAUCUCAUCAUAAUGGAAAUAUGGGAUUUGAGAUCUUUUUAGCAUGAGAAACACUUAAACAGUUUCUGUUGUCACUUGAAAUAAGAGUUAAGUCCCAGAGAUUUAUAUUUGUAUAACGAAUUAUUGUCUCAUCUAAACCACAGAAUCAGUAGGUUGGAAGAGACUUUCAAGAUCAUCAAGUCCAACCCAUGCCCCAACACCUCAACUAAACCAUGGCACCGAGUGCCACAUCUGGAUACACUGAAACACUCCACAAGUGGCUCAGCUGAGGAAAGAACAGUACAUAUUUUGCUUUGUGAUAUUGAACCACAGUGCAGAUAUUAAGAGAUCAGAGACAAUCAGGUGAAGGAGUAAGCAUGCCAAAAUAAUACCCUGGUUUCAGCAUCACGUCUACUUUUGGAGUGUUUAAAACAAAGAUGUGAAAAUUUUAUUUACAUAAACAUUUUUAGUCAAUGGAGCUACCAUUUCAGAAUUAGUGUUUUUCAUUUGAUUCACACAUGUAUAAUACAUUCCACUGCUGUUUUAAAAAAAGUAACCUUACCAUCAUCUGAGUUUUUAAGGAAAAGACUAAGGACUCAAACAAGGUCAUGAAAUGCUAGCUGAGAGGAAUAUACAUGAGUUGCAUAGACCAAAGAGGAAUAAAGAGACUGCAUUGAUGGGGGCAGAGGGAGAGAGAUCACGAAUCAUUAACUAUGGCUUUAUGCUUCACGUCUCUCUACAGUGGGUUUAACCCUAUUAACUGAUUUCCAUUCAUUCUGUCAUUUCCAUGGAAUAAGAUCCUAAGUCUUCUCCAGGUGAGAAAUGAAUACUAUGCAAUCCAAUAACUUUUGUACCUAUUGUUAGCAUACAUAAGGCACAUCAGUGGCAACAAUGUUUAUUCUUAACAUGUGAAGUAAUCACCAAAUUUCACAACUCUGGCAGUGUUCACUCCUGUAAAAGUGAUGAGAUAUUUCUAAAGCCUUCUAGUGAGUGAAUAAACCAAUGGGUUUUAUCCAUGUUUUGCAGGUCACUGGACGUUCAAAACAGCAAAGCAAAUUAAAAGAACCACUUUCCUUUUUCUAUCACAGUAAUUUUGCACUUGAGUAUAUGAGCAUUUGCUAAUAUAAAAGCUAUUGGGGAAGAUAUGAAGGGAACUUCUAACACUGCCUUAUAAGGUUAGUGAGACUUUAAUCAAGAAAAAAAAAUCUAAUGAACAGUAAUUUGAAACACAGCAUUUGGAAAGGUCAGAAUGGUACAUUACAUCCUUAUUAUCCAAAAGAACAGAUGAGUUUAAUAUCCUGGCAGCAUUUUCCUGUGAAGAAGAUAUUAAACAAGAAAUGAAAAUGGCACAAGGUUCUUGCUUCCUUUUCUAUGACAAAGAUUGUAACAAGAUGAUGGAACUACAAAGAAUAAAUCCCUUUCUGCUUUAAUGGUCCAACUGUGAAUUCUAGAUUUCAAAAACCUAAGCCAAGCUAAGAGCCAGCAUGCAUGCUAUUUGUUUCAAUUCCUUUACAACACACUUUCCUGCUUAUAUGGCCCUGCUUGUAUUUUCCAUUAAUAUUUUCUAGUCUUAAACAUGGGAAGAUAUGUUAACAGAAGGUGCACAGUGCACCAAGUUUUGCUGCAUAAUAUGUUGAACAAAUAAUGUACUUCAUCGGCACUGAUGAAAAUACAUCUUUUCCAGCUUCUCUUUGAAUAACCUAAGAACCUAAGAGAGUAUGUAUUCCAACACACAACACAUUGCAUGUGUCCUGCUUUGGACAGUCUCUGAAGGAAUGGAACUCUUUGAAGGCAAAGGAAUUUGCAGUGUAUCCAAUAGGUUGUUUUAAUAUAAGAACUGUCAGAAUUUCCUACCUUAAAUCAUUAGCUGCAUGAAGAUUCUUCCUUUUCCUUAUAGGUCUAAGGGGGAAAAAACUUCUGGAACUGGAUGUUGUAAUUUAUGACUAAAAUACACCAUGAGGGUUCUCAUGUUAAAUGUUAUGAUGGGAACUGAAAAAGUGCUGUGCUUAAAAAUGAAAAAAAUAGUAUAUAGCAUGCCCCUGUAUUAGUUACUUAUAUGCAGUCCUCAUGAGACUGGAUAAAUGUGGUAUUACCCACAAAUGUAACAAGUUAGAUUUCAAAUAUAUUAAUAAUUAUUAAAGAAAACAUUUUAUAUCAUUCCAAAGAUAAAAAGUCUUGAAGUAUUACUGGCUGAAGUACACCCACAUGGGUUUGCACAAGCUCACAAUUAGAAAUCAUGUUGAACCUCUUUUUCCCACACCAUCUUGAAGAAAAACUUCUCUGUGGUACAUUACAUGCAGCAUCUUGCUGAGAAAAACCAUUCUGCUUUGGUCAAGAGAGACAAAACAACUGUAUCCAAAAUAUGUUUUCAGUACCUCGAGUGAAUGUAUAAGUAUGUAUAUUUAUACUUGUUGGAGUUUUUUUCUAUUUUCUUUUUUUUAAGUGAUUUUAUUUCCACUGGAGAUUGUAAAUGUAUUUUUCUUCCUUUGUUUUGCAGCUAUAAAGUAGGAUAGCUUUUCAAUGCAUUGGCAAUGUGCAAUCUAUUUUGAAACUUCAAAGGAUUUGCAAAACUACAGACAAAAAUCCCUAAUGGGUGUUCAUUUCAUAAGUGCCUACAGAAAUUAAUGUUUUCUAUGUGCCUAGAAAAAAUCCACUAGAUACAAGUUUCUAUCAAGUUCCUUGUUAUUAAGCUAAUAGUCCUUGAAACUGAAAUUACUACAAAUAGCUCUUUUCUUCUUCCUAACCAAACAUCAGCCAUCCAAUGUGCCAUGUACAGAAAAUAAUAAAACUAUUUUUUCAGUUCCUAAUUAUUAUUCACAAUAUAAAUCUGUGAAAUUUUA